GAAAUAUCAAAGUCUCAGAUCCAAAGCUUUUUGAAAUGAUUAAGUAUUGUCUUUUGAAAAUUCUGAAGCAAUAUCAGACAUUGAGAGAAGCUCUUGUUGCAGCAGGAAAAGAGGUUAUAUGGCAUGGGCGGACAAAUGAUGAACCAGCUCAUUACUGUAGCAUUUGUGAGGUGGAGGUUUUUAAUCUGCUUUUUGUCACUAAUGAAAGCAAUACUCAAAAAACCUACAUAGUACAUUGCCAUGAUUGUGCACGAAAAACAAGCAAAAGUUUGGAAAAUUUUGUGGUGCUCGAACAGUACAAAAUGGAGGACCUAAUCCAAGUUUAUGAUCAAUUUACACUAGCCUCCCCAUGGCCACCCAUGGACCAGUCGGCAUUCACUUCCUCCCUUCUGCGGCCCAUAAAAGCCCUGGGUUCAGGCAGAGCUGAGCAGACAUCAGGUGACCAGCUGCAGAAAGGAGCUACCCACUCCAGGGCCUCAUCUCUGCUGAGAGCUGCAGAGAUGACCAGAAGACCUGCAUCCAGAGAGGAGCUUCCUGAUCCAGGGCUAUUCUGUCACUCAAUAAAGCUUCUCUUUGUCUUGUUCUCCUUCC
rnacentral:lncRNA from 1 species